AUCCGUUUGGUUUAUGCUUGCGUGAUAUCUGUAUUGUAGGAUCUCGAGUUCGUCCAGUUCCGUCCUACAGUCAUAUAUGGUGCUGGAUGCCUCAUCACAGGAAGAUGUCAUUGCAGCCAAAGAACCAAGUAGGUGAUGGAGCUUGUGGAAAAUGGAUAUAUGUACAAGAGCAUGUGAUAGAAUAUAUGAAUAUCCUGGCCAGCUAGCUACGUUAGUUUUCUCCCUUCCAUGGCAAGUGGCAACAGACCAGUUCCAUAGCACCUUGGUUGGGUGGUGAGGUUGAGAUGUCGCGCGGCAGAGUAGCCAACCAAGGCCUAUUAUUUUUGCAGUCCUAUUGAGGUCUGCCGACAGGUUCAGACUUUCCAGUCAAGGAAUUUAUGCAUUUUCUUCAUGAAACAUACAUCCUGUGGUGAGGGGCUCUCCCCCAUCUCCCGUGUUUCCCCUCUGCAAUUUCCUUAUUUCCACAACUCCUCUUCCGCGUUCGGAUUGGGUUAGGUGUAACACACUCAUCUUGCAAGCUUUCUUCGAUCUGGAGAAUGGCAACCAGGAGCUCAAGAGCGACCUAAGGACCUCUGCAUCAACACCGCGAUCCAGUUGGAUAUCGUCGGGAACAGGAAGGCCGUGGAACCACGUGCCCUGCCGCCUACACAAGGCCUUCAGGAAGAUCCAUGCUAGGCUCGUGAGGGAGCUCGAGAAGAAGUUCAGCGGCAAGUAGUAUACAUAUGUAACACCUCUAUCGUUUAUUGAGGAGGUUCUUAGACCACUAAAUAUGUCAGCAUCAAAUGGGAAGUGGAUCGAUGGGCUCCAGUUCUCAUCUCUGUUCUGCCCUGGCACAUGAUGUGCAGCAGAAACAGGCACAAACUUUGGUCUAUGUUGAGUGCUUUGGUCAGCUUACAUGUGAGAGCGAGCAAUUUCCGAAGGAUGUAGCUCAGCUCAUUUAGAGUUGAUAUCCAUCAAAUGAAAAACGUUUGGUAGCUGAAGUAUCAAGUAAAAUAUGACUUC